CGGAGGGUGCAAGCGUUAUCCGGAUUCACUGGGUUUAAAGGGUGCGUAGGUGGGUUGGUAAGUCAGUGGUGAAAUCCCCGAGCUUAACUUGGGAACUGCCAUUGAUACUAUCAGUCUUGAAUACUGUGGAGGUCAGCAGAAUAUGUCAUGUAGCGGUGAAAUGCUUAGAUAUGACAUAGAAUACCAAUUGCGAAGGCAGCUGGCUACACAAAUAUUGACACUGAGGCACGAAAGCGUGGGGAUCAAACAGGAUUAGAUACCCUGGUAGUCCACGCCCUAAACGAUGGAUACUCGACAUUUGCGAUACACAGCAAGUGUCUGAGCGAAAGCAUUAAGUAUCCCACCUGGGAAGUACGAUCGCAAGAUUG
rnacentral:rRNA from 1 species